rnacentral:rRNA from 1 species
GAGUUUGAUCCUGGCUCAGAUUGAACGCUGGCGGCAGGCCUAACACAUGCAAGUCGAGCGGAAACGAGUUAACUGAACCUUCGGGGAACGUUAACGGCGUCGAGCGGCGGACGGGUGAGUAAUGCCUGGGAAAUUGCCCUGAUGUGGGGGAUAACCAUUGGAAACGAUGGCUAAUACCGCAUAAUAGCUUCGGCUCAAAGAGGGGGACCUUCGGGCCUCUCGCGUCAGGAUAUGCCCAGGUGGGAUUAGCUAGUUGGUGAGGUAAUGGCUCACCAAGGCGACGAUCCCUAGCUGGUCUGAGAGGAUGAUCAGCCACACUGGAACUGAGACACNGUCCAGACUCCUACAGGAGGCAGGAGUGGGGNAUAUUGCACUUUGGCAGCAAAUCUGUUUCGGCGAGNNGGUGGGGU